GGAAUUUAUCUGAUUUCUGUCUUCCUUAGAUGUACGGAUUGAAUCUUAACUGCACAGGGUACUUUGUGCUGUUUCUGUCGAGGAGAAAGGAAGGAUUCUGAUUUAAUAAAUGAUGUGUGUGAGACAUGGCUGAUGACUACCAAUCAUUAAUUUGUGCAGUGCUUGUUUUCAACCACUGGAAUUGUUUUCCUACUUUGUGGCCACAAUAUCUGCAACGAUGUCACAUGAGCAGGCACCAAAUAAUAAACAAAAAUAUGCUGUCAUCCUCAACCUCUUGUGGGAUGGAGGAGAAGUCUGACAACUUAACUUGGCUUUGCUAUCCCUCAUGGGCAAACCUGCUUCCUUUCCUUCCUCUGAUGCAUUGCAAGCAUAAUGUGUCUUGUCCUGCUGCCAAUACCACCACAAUAGAUUACAGUGCUUCCCUGAGCAGAGAUACUGUUACUGAUCUCUCUCAGCCACUGAAGUGUAUCUUUGCAUUAACUGCUGUCCAUAGGGACUUUGUAGUCUGGAAACCACAGGUGGCCAGCGGGUAGCUGAAAGCUGUCACCUACCACACAGACAGGACAUAUCAACAACUUGUAAAGAAACUCUGAAGAGGGUGGCGAUGGCUGAGUCCUGACAGGGAGCCCCUGGAAGAGGGGGAGAGCUGGUAUGAAGGGAGGCUGUUGGCUGAGCUGGACACCCUUCUCACUGCUGGUUCUUGAGGCAGAAAUUGGCGACUGCUCUCUGUGCAAGUGCUCUGGAAAUUGUGAUGGAGUAUUCAGCUGGGCACUGAAUUUCUGUUCGUUCUUUCCUCUUAUUUCUGUUGUAGAAUCUUCAGUUCUGUUUUUCUUUUGUCUUAAAAAUUGCAGCUAUCCGUAGUGUGAAUGCUUUCUUACUUCACGUAGACAAGGAAUUUAAUAACAGCUCAUUUAAAUAAUAAAAUUAGCAAUGUAUUAUGUAGAAUUAUUAAAGACAGAUUUUUUUUUCC
rnacentral:lncRNA from 7 species